GAUGAACGCUGGCGGCGUGCCUAAUACAUGCAAGUCGAGCGAACGGACGAGAAGCUUGCUUCUCUGAUGUUAGCGGCGGACGGGUGAGUAACACGUGGAUAACCUACCUAUAAGACUGGGAUAACUUCGGGAAACCGGAGCUAAUACCGGAUAAUAUUUUGAACCGCAUGGUUCAAAAGUAAAAGACGGUCUUGCUGUCACUUAUAGAUGGAUCCGCGCUGCAUUAGCUAGUUGGUAAGGUAACGGCUUACCAAGGCAACGAUGCAUAGCCGACCUGAGAGGGUGAUCGGCCACACUGGAACUGAGACACGGUCCAGACUCCUACGGGAGGCAGCAGUAGGGAAUCUUCCGCAAUGGGCGAAAGCCUGACGGAGCAACGCCGCGUGAGUGAUGAAGGUCUUCGGAUCGUAAAACUCUGUUAUUAGGGAAGAACAUAUGUGUAAGUAACUGUGCACAGCUUGACGGUACCUAAUCAGAAAGCCACGGCUAACUACGUG
rnacentral:rRNA from 1 species